AUGGCUUUCUCCCCUGGCACAUGGCCGGCGAUCACUGCUGCGAUCUUCCUGGCAUGGGCGGCGGCCGCGAGUGGCCGCGGCGUCGACGUGGGCGACAUGCUGAUGAUGGACAGGUUCCUCCGGUGGCAGGCUGCGCACAACCGGUCGUACCCGAGCGCGGGGGAGAGGCUGCGGCGCUUCCAGGUGUACCGCGACAAUGUGGAGUACAUCGACACCACCAACCGCCGCAGCGACCUUACCUACCAACUCGGCGAGAACCAGUUCGCCGACCUCACCCGGGAGGAGUUCCUCGGCAAGUUCACGUCUUACGACGGUGAUGCUCGCACCGAGGAUGGUGAUAUGGUCAUCACGACGGUCGUGGGGGGCGGUGACACCGGCCUGUGGUCGUAUGGCGACGACAAUGUCUCCUUGGAUCCGGCCAGCAUGGACUAG
rnacentral:rRNA from 1 species